UUAGUUCAACAUGUAAAUGCAGUAUAUCACAGAUAUAUGACAGAGGAGACUGACUCUUGUCUGGAUGUUACAGGGACAGAUGAGACACACGUGUGUUUAUCUGCUGUAGAGUAACUGAUGAAGGAAUGCUGCCAUCAAAGGAUUUGUAUCUUUUGUGGUGGAGCAGGACCUGCAAGGAAAGGUGAAAAAAAGGGAAAACCUGAAACAAAAGAAUAAUGUAGUUGUGCUCAUGGGGUUCAGGCACACGAAAGUUUGGAGCCGUGUUCUUCUGCUCUCGCUUCAAGGUUGUGUGGUUCAGAGAGCCGACAUCAUGGUCUUCCUCAAUUGAGAAGAGUGAGAUUGUGAAGUGCAGCAGCAGAA